UACGUAGGAUGCAAGCGUUGUCCGGAUUUACUGGGCGUAAAGGGCGCGCAGGCGGCACUACAAGUACUGGGUGAAAUCUCCCUGCUCAACGGGGAGGGUGCUUAGCAGACUGUAGAGCUAGAGGUGGGUAGAGGGUGGUGGAAUUCCGGGUGUAGCGGUGGAAUGCGUAGAGAUCCGGAAGAACACCGGUGGCGAAGGCGGCCUGCUGGGCAGUAGCUGACGCUGAGGCGCGACAGCGUGGGGAGCAAACAGG
rnacentral:rRNA from 1 species